UACACUCCUGCGGGAGGCAGCAGUGGGGAAUAUUGCACAAUGGGCGCAAGCCUGAUGCAGCCAUGCCGCGUGUAUGAAGAAGGCCUUCGGGUUGUAAAGUACUUUCAGCGGGGAGGAAGGCAAUACGGUUAAUAACCGUGUUGAUUGACGUUACCCGCAGAAGAAGCACCGGCUAACUCCGUGCCAGCAGCCGCGGUAAUACGGAGGGUGCAAGCGUUAAUCGGAAUUACUGGGCGUAAAGCGCACGCAGGCGGUCUGUCAAGUCGGAUGUGAAAUCCCCGGGCUCAACCUGGGAACUGCAUUCGAAACUGGCAGGCUUGAGUCUUGUAGAGGGGGGUAGAAUUCCAGGUGUAGCGGUGAAAUGCGUAGAGAUCUGGAGGAAUACCGGUGGCGAAGGCGGCCCCCUGGACAAAGACUGACGCUCAGGUGCGAAAGCGUGGGGAGCAAACAGGAUUAGAAACCCCGGUAGUCC
rnacentral:rRNA from 1 species